UAUUUAAAAGUGAUGAUUGCAUAGGUCAACCGAUUACCUGUGAUGGCUUUUAGUCUUUCAUAAUUUCGCCCCUAUCUGAUUUUGGUG